UAUGUAGUGGUGCUGAAGCGUGUGGCUUGGACGUGCGUUAACCGCUUCUGUCCCGGAGGAGAGCAGAUUAACGUUAUCAUCCAUCGGGCAGCUGCGCUCCUCGCUCGCUCAGAUCUCCCGCUGUACGCUGAGUUCUGACGCUGACUGGAGGAACUGCGCGCCUUUCCCUUCGUUUAGGAGAACUGGUGCGGCCUGAGCUCUGGCAGACGAUCCUCGAACAUCCGCGUCUCGAACGGCACGCUGGGAGUUUUCAUGCGUUGUUUGCUGCCGGAGCCCUGCGGCGCCGGAGACGUCAUUGUUUCCCGACUCCUUCAUACGUUCAGAUAAAAGUCAACACGCCGGUUAUUCCCUCAUCCAUGAAGCUGAGCUCGGGGUCAGCGGUCUUCGUGUGAAAACGCUCAUACCUGUGCGUCUCUCAGCUGUCUGGAGAUCUGGGAAGGAUGUUUGCUUUGUGAAUCUGUCUAAACGCCAACAGGAGCUCUCAAAUGAGUCCAGAGAACGUAUCACACCUGAUCUACCCAGAGAGAACGAAGACAGUGCAAUGAAUUAGUUUCAUCGUGUCUGGAGCAUUAUUUGACGACUGUCUGUUGAGCGACGCUCUCAUCAGAAACUCAGAUUCAGCGGUGAAGACCGUCAUUAAUCAGCGUAAAGGCUUUAAUCAACAUCAAUACAUCGAGCGCUCGUACUGAAUUCAAUUAGAAAAGGGCUUUUUCUUUAUUAGACGCACGUCUGCGCUACUCCUCCGUUAAUCCCGAGACCCUGCCGAGAGUUGCCACAAAUCCCAUUAUUAUUCUUAUUUUAUGAAUAAAAACAUUUGAUUUGUUCUGUAAGGAGGGUGUUUAUGAGAACGGUACGAUGCCAGCUUUCUAUAAGCCCAGUAUGAGAAACAAUGCAUAUCUUACACAAGCUGCACGCUCCCUUUCUAUACCUUCACUUUGCAUUUUUAUGACAGUCUCGGGUGAAGGAGCGUCUAUGCUCUUCCUCCAUUGCGCCGGAGAGGAGAGAAUAAUAAUAAUGCGAAGGCAAACUAAAGGGAUGAAGAAAAUGGUGGAUGGUGCAAAGCCAUGCAUCUCAGGUGAAGAUCUGGCACUCGCUCCUUUCCAGAACGAUUCCUUCCAUCAGCAUUUGGGCCCUGUCCGUUUCCAUCAAUGAACCCGUCUGAGAGCGAUCGGUGACGGAUAUGUUUGCCUGCGCUGCGAUCGUCCGGCUCACGGCGUGACAGGACAACCUGACAAACAUCCAGAUCGAGAACGUGUAGCGUUUGAACCAAUCACACGCGUGCGAUUUUUCAUUAGACCGACUAACAAUCCCAGAUACGCGGCCAUAAUUCUCUCUAAAAGUUGCAAAAAGUCCUUGUCAAUUUGUCCUGUGAUGCAUAUCUGCAUAUAUGAUGCCGUUCAUGUAUAUAGUCUUUUGUGUUAUAUACUGUUUUAUGGUCCUUCAUGUGUAUCUACACCACUAGUACGCAGCUUACAUACAUGUAAUACCUUUCUAAUUACGUUAAAAUGACUGAAUAUUACACGGGCGCGAGCUACGUUAAAUAAAGUCUAUCAAAAUGGUAUGAUCAAGUGUAAAAAGCUGUGUAACAGUUACUUAUAAGUACAUGUUAUUUCACAUGCAAUGGCUACUACUAAGUAUUAGGUAAUUACUAUGUUAUUACUAUAUUAUGACAGCUUAAAAUAUUUAUUUAUUUAUUAAGACGUUUUGUUUAGAGUUUGUUUUGUUAAUACAAGAAAAAAUAAAAAGCUGUCACUAUAGCGUUUAGCUUUUAUACCUUUUAGGUGCUGAUAUGUACACUUAUGUGUAGCUUUAAAGCACUAAUACAGAGCCUUUUGAAAAAGCAGUGCCCUAGUGACAGCUUUUGUCCCUUGAAUGCAUGUUCUAUUCACAUUUUUGAACUCGGUUUC